AUACGGAGGGUGCGAGCGUUGUUCGGAAUUGUUGGGCGUAAAGAGCAUGUAGGCGGUCUGUUAAGUCUGGUGUGAAAGCCCGGGGCUCAACCCCGGAAGUGCAUUGGAUACUGGCAGACUUGAGUAUGGGAGAGGAAAGCGGAAUUCCGAGUGUAGGAGUGAAAUCCGUAGAUAUUCGGAGGAACACCAGUGGCGAAGGCGGCUUUCUGGACCAAUACUGACGCUGAGAUGCGAAAGCGUGGGGAGCAAACAGGAUUAGAAACCCCAGUAGUCC
rnacentral:rRNA from 1 species